UGACCACAAGUUCAACGGCCGCGGUAUUUUGACCGUGCAAAGGUAGCGCAAUCACUUGUCUUUUAAAUAGAGACCUGUAUGAAUGGCUAAACGAGGGCUUAACUGUCUCCCUUUUUAGGUCAGUGAAAUUGAUCUACCCGUGCAGAAGCGGGUAUAACAAUACAAGACGAGAAGACCCUUUGGAGCUUAAGGUACAAAACUCAACCACGUCAAGCAACUUAAUAAAAAAUAAAAACUUUGUGAAACAUGAGAUUUUACCUUCGGUUGGGGCGACCGCGGAGGAAAAAAAAGCCUCCAAGUGGACCGGGACAAACUCCUAAAACCAAGAGAAACAUCUCUAAGCCACAGAACAUCUGACCAAACAUGAUCCGGCCACCAGGACCGAUCAACGAACCAAGUUACCCUAGGGAUAACAGCGCAAUCCCCUCCCAGAGUCCAUAUCGACGAGGGGGUUUACGACCUCGAUGUUGGAUCAGGACAUCCUAAUGGUGCAGCCGCUAUUAAGGGUUCGUUUGUUCAACGAUUAAAGUCCUACGUGAUC
rnacentral:rRNA from 1 species